ACCAUAUGACCCAGCAAUACCACUCUUGGGCAUAUAUCUGAAUAAAACUUUCCUUAAAAAAGACACAUGCACCCACAUGUUCAUUGCAGCUCUAGUCACAAUAGCCAAGACAUGGAAACAACCCAAAUGUCCAUUGACAGAUGACUAGAUUAGGAAGAUGUGAUAUAUAUACAGAAUGGAAUACUACUCAGCCAUAAAAAAGAAUGAAAUAAUGCCAUUUGCAGCAAUAUGGAUUGAACUAGAGACUCUCAUACUGAGUGAAGUAAGCCAGAAAGAGAAAGGUUCAGUGUUUUUAGGUGACUUCUACUGUCACUGCCCAAUAUAUUGUUUUUCCUGUUUUGGCAAGUGGCAACUUAAUUUUAUGGUUUUUCUUGCCAGCUUAAAUUCUAAUAUUACCGGUCCUCCCAAUUUUAGUUUUUAUUUUUUAAAUUUUUUCACUGUUUUAGUUUUUUUAUUAUUAUUUUUAAUAAUUAUUUCCCAAUACAAUUUUUUUCUACUGUUCAGCAAUUUGACCCAGUUACACAUACAUGUACACAUUCUAUUUUUGCACAUUAUCAUGCUCCAUCAUAAGUGUCUAGACACAGUUCCCAAUCCUACAUAGCAGGAUCUCAUUGCUAAUCCAUUCCAAAGCUAAUUGUUUGUAUCUAUUAACCCCAAGCUGGAGUUCCCAUUGUGACGCAGUGGUUAAGAAUCCGACUAGGAACCAUGAGGUUGCUGGUAAACUCCUUGGCCUUGCUCAGUGGGUUAACGAUUUGGUGUUGCCAUGAGCUGUGGUGUGGGUUGCAGACAUGGCUCGGAUCCCGCGUUGCUGUGGCUCUGGUGUAGGCCUUCGGCUACAGCUCUGAUUAGACCCCUAGCCUGGGAACCUCCAUAUGCUGUGGGAGCAGCUCAAGAGAAAGACCAAAAAAAAAAAAAAAACCAAGCUCCCCAACCACCCCACUCCCUCCCCCUCCCCCUUGGCAACCACCAUUUGCAGCUACAUGGAUGGAACCAAAGACUCUCAUGCUGAGUGAAGUAAGUCAGAGAGAGAAAGACAAAUACCAUGUGAUAUUGCUUAUGUCUGAUCCUCCCAAUUUUUAUACUUCACAUGAAAAUUAAUGACCAAAUAUUCUCAGCUAUGCCUUCAAAACUUUCCAGAAAUUGAAUAUUUCUGACCUGGAACAGCACUGUUAUACUGGUUUAAGCUAUCUUUAACUCUCUCCUGAAUUAUUUCAUUAGCCUCCUAACCAGCCUGGUUGCUGAGGCUUUAGCCCUCUAUCCUUCAGUCAGUUUUCAACAAAGCAGACUAAUUAUUUUAAAAGGUUAUCUCAUAUUUCAUUCCACAAAUACUUAAAAAAAAUCUACUAGUGUAAUUCAGAGUGAAUCUAAGGCCUGUAGAUCUGUCCCUCUGCCCUACUUAUUUUUGCUAUUCCUCAACUAUGGUUGGCACAUUCUAACUGCAGGAUUCUCACUCUAAGUCUUUUAGCUUAGAAUUCUGUCCCCAAAGAUAUAUGUGGCUCAUUUCCUCAACAACUUCCAAAAUCACCAUAGUUAUGAAACCAUUCCUGACUUCUUAAUUUAACAAUUUCAUUCUACCUUCUUACCCUCAUUUCUAUGCCUUGUCACUAAUUUUUUUUUCCCUGUAGAAGUGACCAUCUCAAGGCUCUCUACUUAGCAAAAGGAAUUAUCUAUUAAUUAUUGCUUAAUAAACAAUCAUGAAAUCACAGUGGCAUCUAACAAUUAGAUUUUCUUUUUCAUGUUUCUAUAAAUCAGUGGCAAGUUAGCUCUUUUGGCUACAGCUUGUGGCCUAAUCUACUCUGAGUUCUAAUUCUGAGGCCAAUAUUAGAAAGGCAACAGCUACCUGGAAGAAACUUCUCUGCAAUGGCAGUGACCAAAGGUGGCAUACUGACUGUACGCACACAUUUUGAGCAUCAGUGUGCAUCAUACUUAUGAACAUCUCAUUUCCCAAAAUAACUUAUGUGCGUGAGUCCGAAGGCAAGGGCUGGGCACACGUACACUCUGCCCAUGGAGAAAGAAGGGUGCGAAAUUUUUAAUGAAGUUUUGAAUGUACCACAUAUGUACAAAGAUAAUUUAACCAACUGUAAAAGGUGAAAAGAUUUAAAUUGGAAAAUUUUAGAAGUAUUCUAACUUUAUAUAUAUAUGUGUGUGUGUAUAUAUAUGUAUAUAUGUAUAAAAUAUAUGUACAUACAUACUUGUAUUAAAUAAUAAACAUAUAAGAAUUUUCAAGUAGAAAAUGAGAUCCCACUUUGACAUUGGCAUUGGUACUUGGUGUGAAUAGAUGCAUGGGAUUCAGAUAAAGGAAAUAGAAGACAAAAGUCUUUAGAAAGAAAGCUGGUUAAGCAAAAUUUCAGAGAAAGGAAAAAACAAAAGGUAUUCAAAUAAUAUCUAAGUGAUCCUUUACUCACACUUCCCAAAUGAUUCAGUCCAAAACCACUAAGUGAGACUGACUGGCCCAGGCUUUGCAGAAGCCCCAGAAGGGGGAAAAGAAUGUCCAUAUGGGAGAGAGGGUACAUGUGUUAAGAUUACUUUUGUAAAUAUUCCAUGCUCGAUUCUUAAUUCUAGUUUCCUUACUGACUCUUCUUCUCAUCCCUAUUAUUGGACUUACUUCACUUUAUUUCCUGAUCAAUUCGAUUGCAAUUUUUAUUUCAUAUAAUUUCUGAUUAAUAGGUUUCCUUUAACCUCCUUUAUACUAAAAGAAAGUGUACUCUUUUUGUUGUGUUUAUCUAGUCUAUAUAAGAGGCUAAAUGAACCCACCACAGGAAUUCCUAUGACAUUCUGAAUAUAGCAGAUAUGUCAUUUUUUCCAUUCUCAGUACUCAGAUUAUACAUAGCCAACUUUAACAUGUGAAAUCCUCAUGUGAGACUAUAUUGUAAGACAUCAUAGGUUUUAAAGACGAAUGGAUAAAUCCUCCAUAAUUAUUUCCUUUCUCCGUCGUUUCUUAUUCUAACUCCAGGAUGGAUUAACUAACUCUUUCUUCACUAUUCACAUUUAAAUUCUUUAACCAAAACAUGUCAUUAACUUGGCAAGUAACUGUCCUACAAGACAACUCAAUUGUAGGACCAUUGUAUAGAAUGCUGAUAUGACUAGAUGUGGCCAUUUUGAGGUCCAACCACAUUUUCCUAGUCCAAAAAUUACACUGUGAUAAGAUAAUCUGGUACCAACUACAUUAUCCAUUCAUAAGAUAUCCCUCAGAGAGGACUGCAUCCAUGCUAGAUAGUCUGGGGCUUCUAAACAAGGGAAGGUGCCUGCCAGGUACAUUUGUACUUCAGAACCUCAGCAAACAGAAUCUCCAUUUUCACAUUCUACAAUUCUUCUUUAACUCCAAAAUGCUUCUGAUUUCCCAUUCCUCUCAUGACACACCACACGUGUUUCAGUGUUGUACAAAAAUAUGGCUACAUCUCUCCUAAAUGUAUGAGUUUAAACUCAUCCCUUGUCUUUUAGUUUAUUUGUAGUUUAUGCCCUAAAUAUACUUCAGCCACUAAAAAUAAAGGUCCACUAAUGAAUUAUGAACAUAACAAAAUAGUUAAUUUGCCUAUAGGUCAAACAAAGAAAUAAGAACAUUAUUUAUAGUUACUUGUCACAGAUACUGAAAUUCAAUUAUAUUCUAAUUUUACAGGGGUUUAAUGAAGAGUAUUGAAGAGGAUUUAGGAGAUGUUAUCUCAAUUUGAUCUCUGUCUCCAAAGUGUCAGUAUUUUAAUUGGCACAUUUUAAGACUUCUCCAUCAAUUUUGUAUGUUUUAUUUUACAAUGAGGAUCAAAGUGGAUAAGUUAUUUGCCCUAGAAUCUUGACUCCCAGACUUUCUACUAUACUUUCAUUAAAUAAUUGUUUUUCUCAUGAAAGUCAUAAUUCCUUACCUUUAGCUUAUAAGACAAAGUCUAAUUUGAUUUUUAUUAUCACUUCUUAAAUUAUAUGAUGCUAUUAACUUAAUUUGUUUAUUUAAUUUUCUCCUAGUCUUCCACUGGAUAUAUCACAUUUGGCAUACACUUUAAUGUCUAUCCUCUUGUAUGGAAAAUAGGUGCACUGGAAUCCAUUACAACAUAGUUACUAUUAUUCUACUGCCAGUUUCCUAGGUAAUGCUUAUAGAGAUUUUCCGUACUUGACAUCUUUCGAGUGUGUAGAUUAAGUAUCCCACUGUGUGUAGUUUUAUAUAAAUGAAUCCUUAUUGAUUUUUCUAUGUGAUAUGUUACCUCAUUUGUGCCAACUUUCUUAGGUUCCUUUACUUAUUUCCUUUUCUCUUUGUCAAUUUUCCCAUGUUCAAGAGAAAAGCACUUCUGAUAUAGGUUGGAAAAUCUCUGUGAUUACAUGUCUAACCCCUCUCACUUUUCUUUAAGUCUACUGCAAUAUUCUUUCAUUUAUCUUGCCAAACAUCAUUCAUAGCAUCUUGGUUGUAGUGAUUCGUAUAGUAGCCAUUGAAUAAAUACAUGUUUCAGAGGGUUUUCUUAACAGGUAGAAGUGAAGCAAGUAGCAGUCUCAAUUCUCCCGCACUUUCAGGAGCAUUUCCAUAUUAAGCAAAUGAAAGCAGGCAUUUUAAACUGUAAUAAAGUUUUACAGAAGAACAAAGAUUCACCUAAACUAAAUUUUGUUUCCUGAAUCAAAUGCUAAUCAGCUAUCAUAAGUCUAAAAUUUAUUGUGAUAAAAUAUUCAUAAAAAUAUAACAUAAAUUGUUUUCUUUGCAAUGCAUGAGAAUAUUUAACAGUAGGGAAAAAUGACCUUUGAUAUCAUUCACAAAAUGACCCAGAGACUUAUCUCUCACAGUCCUUUCAAAAGAUAAUAAGGCAACAUUUAUAUAUAUAUAGCAUAAUAGAAUUUCAAAACAAUAGAUAAUUUUAGAGAUUAAUCAGUACAAACCCUCAUGUUAUUGAUAAAUAAUAUAAAAACUAGAAAAGUGAAAUAAUAAUAGAAAAAUAAUUUUGAAAACUAGAAUUUGUUUAACACAUAUGCAAUUAUGCACUUAGCUUGGAUUAUUCCAUUUAAUACAUGGAAAAAUCUUUGAGGUAAGUGCCAUUAGUAAAAAGAAUUACAUACUAACAGUGGAAGAACUAGAAACUGGGUCUUCAAAUCUCAGUGCAGUGUUAUUAACUCACUACUCCACAUCCUAAUUGUAAAUAUUUUUAAUCACUAAGAUAUUUUUGCACUUUCUGUGGAUUGUGUGAGGCAUUUUAUGCUAAAUACAGAUAGUAUAUGCCAUGUUAAAACUAAAACAAAACCAUGAUUUAUUAUAGGACUGAUUUGCAAACACAAAACCAUAAAGACUAAAUCUUCUUCCUAAUGAAUUUAGAAGAAGAAAACAAUUCUAACAUUUCCAUGCAAGCG
rnacentral:lncRNA from 1 species